rnacentral:misc_RNA from 1 species
UCCCUGUUACCAGGGCAGUCUGGCCUGAAAAAUACAACAGACCACAAGGGUUGCGCUCGUUGAUGGACUUAACCAAACAUCUCACGACACGAGCUGACGACGGCCAUGCAUCACCUGUCACUUGGCUCAAUAAAGCACUCUUCCCUUUCGGGAAAAUUCCAAGGAUGUCAAGCCUGGGUAAGGUUCUUCGCUUACCAUCGAAUUAAACAACACGCUCCACCGCUUGUGCGGGUCCCCGUCAAUUCCUUUAUGUUUUAGUCUUGCGACCGUACUCCACAGGCGGGAUGCUUAACGCGUUAGCUUCGCCACAUCCGGGGUCGAUACCGAAUACGGCUAGCAUCCAUAGUUUACGGCGUGGACUAC